CCUACGGGAGGCAGCAGUGAGGAAUAUUGGUCAAUGGUCGGGAGACUGAACCAGCCAAGCCGCGUGAGGGAUGAAGGUACAGAGUAUCGUAAACCUCUUUUGUCAGGGAACAAAGGCGGGGACGUGUCCCCGGAUGCGUGUACCUGAAGAAAAAGCAUCGGCUAACUCCGUGCCAGCAGCCGCGGUAAUCCGGAGGAUGCGAGCGUUAUCCGGAUUUCUUUGGUUUAAAGGGUGCGCGGGCGGUCUGUUAAGUCAGCGGUCCACGCCCGGGGCUCAACCCCGGCCCGCCGUUGAAACUGGCAGUCUCGAGUUGGAGAGAAGUAUGCGGAAUGCGCGGUGUAGCGGUGAAAUGCAUAGAUAUCGCGCAGAACUCCGAUUGCGAAGGCAGCAUGCCGGCUCCACACUGACGUGGUUUCAUGAAAGCGUGGGUAUCGAACAGGAUUAGAUACCCUUGUAGUC
rnacentral:rRNA from 1 species